AACCCAUGGUGAGGACACUUACGUAAGAGAUCCUUAUACCUCUCCCAAGCUUUAUAGAGCGACUCCAUAUCUUGCUAGAAAAAAUUAGUGAUGUCACUCCUCAUCUU